CGUUCAUCGAGAUCGGCGGAGGGACUGGCCCUUUGAUGCCGAGGCAACCACAGCAUGCGCUGACGGUGCCAACUCCAGCGGGAAUGAUCCCGGGAGAUGAGCU
rnacentral:ncRNA from 2 species